UUGUAGUCUGCAACCCGACUACAUGAAGCCGGAAUCGCUAGUAAUCGCGGAUCAGAAUGCCGCGGUGAAUACGUUCCCGGGUCUUGUACACACCGCCCGUCACACCAUGGGAGUCGGAAAUGCCCGAAGUCGGUGACCCAACCGCAAGGAGGGAGCCGCCGAAGGCAGGUCCGGUAACUGGGGUGAAGUCGUAACAAGGUAAC
rnacentral:rRNA from 1 species